GACGAACGCUGGCGGCGUGCCUAAUACAUGCAAGUAGAACGCUGAAGAGAGGAGCUUGCUCUUCUUGGAUGAGUUGCGAACGGGUGAGUAACGCGUAGGUAACCUGCCUUGUAGCGGGGGAUAACUAUUGGAAACGAUAGCUAAUACCGCAUAACAAUGGAUGACACAUGUCAUUUAUUUGAAAGGGGCAAUUGCUCCACUACAAGAUGGACCUGCGUUGUAUUAGCUAGUAGGUGAGGUAACGGCUCACCUAGGCGACGAUACAUAGCCGACCUGAGAGGGUGAUCGGCCACACUGGGACUGAGACACGGCCCAGACUCCUACGGGAGGCAGCAGUAGGGAAUCUUCGGCAAUGGGGGCAACCCUGACCGAGCAACGCCGCGUGAGUGAAGAAGGUUUUCGGAUCGUAAAGCUCUGUUGUAAGUCAAGAACGAGUGUGAGAGUGGAAAGUUCACACUGUGACGGUAGCUUACCAGAAAGGGACGGCUAACUACGUGCCAGCAGCCGCGGUAAUACGUAGGUCCCGAGCGUUGUCCGGAUUUAUUGGGCGUAAAGCGAGCGCAGGCGGUUUGAUAAGUCUGAAGUUAAAGGCUGUGGCUCAACCAUAGUUCGCUUUGGAAACUGUCAAACUUGAGUGCAGAAGGGGAGAGUGGAAUUCCAUGUGUAGCGGUGAAAUGCGUAGAUAUAUGGAGGAACACCGGUGGCGAAAGCGGCUCUCUGGUCUGUAACUGACGCUGAGGCUCGAAAGCGUGGGGAGCGAACAGGAUUAGAUACCCUGGUAGUCCACGCCGUAAACGAUGAGUGCUAGGUGUUGGAUCCUUUCCGGGAUUCAGUGCCGCAGCUAACGCAUUAAGCACUCCGCCUGGGGAGUACGACCGCAAGGUUGAAACUCAAAGGAAUUGACGGGGGCCCGCACAAGCGGUGGAGCAUGUGGUUUAAUUCGAAGCAACGCGAAGAACCUUACCAGGUCUUGACAUCCCGAUGCUAUUUCUAGAGAUAGAAAGUUACUUCGGUACAUCGGUGACAGGUGGUGCAUGGUUGUCGUCAGCUCGUGUCGUAAGAUGUUGGGUUAAGUCCCGCAACGAGCGCAACCCCUAUUGUUAGUUGCCACCAUUCAGUUGGGCACUCUAGCGAGACUGCCGGUAAUAAACCGGAGGAAGGUGGGGAUGACGUCAAAUCAUCAUGCCCCUUAUGACCUGGGCUACACACGUGCUACAAUGGUUGGUACAACGAGUUGCGAGUCGGUGACGGCAAGCUAAUCUCUUAAAGCCAAUCUCAGUUCGGAUUGUAGGCUGCAACUCGCCUACAUGAAGUCGGAAUCGCAAGUAAUCGCGGAUCAGCACGCCGCGGUGAAUACGUUCCCGGGCCU
rnacentral:rRNA from 1 species